AUGACUUUGACUCAUGUAUGCGUAGGUUCGAGUCCUGCAUCCCCAGCCAAACAGUAUGGUCUAUUAGCUCAGUCGGUAGAGCACCUGACUUUUAAUCAGGGUGUCCCGCGUUCGAGUCGCGGAUAGAUCACCAAUGGAGAGGUGUCCGAGUGGUUUAAGGAGCUGGUCUUGAAAACCAGUGACUUCGAAAGGGGCCGUGGGUUCGAAUCCCACCCUCUCCGCCAAAUGCCCAGAUAGCUCAGUCGGUAGAGCAGGGGACUGAAAAUCCCCGUGUCGGUGGUUCGAUUCCGCCUCUGGGCACCAAAAUAUGGCGGUAUAGCUUAGUUGGCUAGAGCGUUCGGUUCAUACCCGAAAGGUCAUAGGUUCGACUCCUAUUACCGCUACUAAAAUUUAAUGUGGGCCAUUAGCUCAGUUGGUUAGAGCGCCCGGCUCAUAACCGGUAGGUCUGGGGUUCGAGUCCCUGAUGGCCCACCACAUUAAAUUAAUUAAUAUAAAUUCGAGGUGUAGCGCAGUUUGGUAGCGCACAUGGUUUGGGACCAUGGGGCCGGGGGUUCGAGUCCCUUCACCUCGACCAAUAUAAGGUGGGUAUAGCUCAGUUGGUUAGAGCGCCAGAUUGUGGCUCUGGAGGUCGUGAGUUCGACUCUCAUUAUCCACCCCAAUUCAUAUGGUCUAUUAGCUCAGUCGGUAGAGCACCUGACUUUUAAUCAGGGUGUCCCGCGUUCGAGUCGCGGAUAGAUCACCAAAAAGGUGGCGACAUAGCCAAGUGGUAAGGCAGUGGACUGCAACUCCUUGAUCCCCAGUUCGAAUCUGGGUGUCGCCUCCAAAAUAUUCCAAGGUAGCUCAACGGUGGAGCAACCGGCUGUUAACCGGUAGGCUGUGGGUUCGAGCCCCACCCUUGGAGCCAAAAAAGCCGAAGUGGCGGAACUGGCAGACGCACAGGACUNUGGGAUACCACCCUUGUAGUACUGGGACUCUAACCAUAGGCCAUGAAUCUGGUCUUGGGACACUGUCAGGUGGGCAGUUUGACUGGGGCGGUCGCCUCCCAAAAGGUAACGGAGGCGCUCAAAGGUUCUCUCAGUACGGUCGGAAAUCGUACGUAGAGUGUAAAGGCAAAAGAGAGCUUGAUUGCAAGACAUACAGGUCGAGCAAGGAUGAAAAUCGGACUUAGUGAUCCGGUGGUUCUGCGUGGAAGGGCCAUCGCUCAACGGAUAAAAGCUACCCUGGGGAUAACAGGCUUAUCUCCCCCAAGAGUCCACAUCGACGGGGAGGUUUGGCACCUCGAUGUCGGCUCAUCACAUCCUGGGGCUGUAGUAGGUCCCAAGGGUUGGGCUGUUCGCCCAUUAAAGUGGUACGCGAGCUGGGUUCAGAACGUCGUGAGACAGUUCGGUCCCUAUCCGUCGCAGGCGUAGGAAAUUUGAGAAGACCUGUCCUUAGUACGAGAGGACCGGGAUGGACGUACCUCUGGUGUACCAGUUGUCCUGCCAAGGGCAUGGCUGGGUAGCUAUGUACGGAAUGGAUAAGCGCUGAAAGCAUCUAAGCGCGAAGCCAACUUCAAGAUAAGAUUUCCCACCGUAAGGGUAAGACCCCAGAAAGACUAUCUGGUUGAUAGGUCGAAGGUGUAAGUGCAGCAAUGUAUUUAGCUUAUCGAUACUAAUAGGUCGAGGACUUGACCAA
rnacentral:rRNA from 1 species